rnacentral:rRNA from 1 species
AUUGAACGCUGGCGGCAUGCCUUACACAUGCAAGUCGAACGGUUACAGGUCUUCGGAUGCUGACGAGUGGCGAACGGGUGAGUAAUACAUCGGAACGUGCCCGAGAGUGGGGGAUAACGAAGCGAAAGCUUUGCUAAUACCGCAUACGAUCUCAGGAUGAAAGCAGGGGACCGCAAGGCCUUGCGCUCACGGAGCGGCCGAUGGCAGAUUAGGUAGUUGGUGGGAUAAAAGCUUACCAAGCCGACGAUCUGUAGCUGGUCUGAGAGGACGACCAGCCACACUGGGACUGAGACACGGCCCAGACUCCGACGGGAGGCAGCAGUGGGGAAUUUUGGACAAUGGGCGCAAGCCUGAUCCAGCCAUGCCGCGUGCAGGAUGAAGGCCUUCGGGUUGUAAGCUGCUUUUGUACGGAACGAAAAGACUCUGGUUAAUACCUGGGGUCCAUGACGGUACCGUAAGAAUAAGCACCGGCUAACUACGUGCCAGCCGCCGCAGUAA